GUGUGCACUUCUGCAGCACAUAUACUACAAUUGGAGCACCACAGACAUUAAGCAUGGCCCCUGGACAAGGAUGACAUGUAAAUUCGUAAGUGUUAUACUGGUAAA
ensembl:snRNA U6 U6 spliceosomal RNA